rnacentral:rRNA from 1 species
UGCGUAGGUGGACAUUUAAGUCAGUGGUGAAAUCUUUGGGCUUAACCCGAAAACUGCCAUUGAUACUAUUUGUCUUGAAUUCUCUGGAGGUAAGCGGAAUAUGUCAUGUAGCGGUGAAAUGCUUAGAUAUGACAUAGAACACCCAUUGCGAAGGCAGCUUACUACGGAGACAUUGACACUGAGGCACGAAAGCGUGGGGAUCAAACAGGAUUAGAUACCCUGGUAGUC